CUCCUGCAGAGACAGGUUCUACGGAGUGGCCCCAACUCGGAUGCCUCUAGCUCCCUCCCGAUCUCCACACCAACUCAGACCGAGGUCUAUGGGAGGUUUGUUUGAUUUUCUUCACUUGGAUGCAUAGUUUCACUGUACAGCGAGCAGACUGGAUUUCAAUUCCCUGAGAUGCUCCUGCCUCGGCCCCCUGAAAGCGGAACUCACAGAUGAGCGUCACCACGCGGGAACCUAUUUGCUGUUUUGAAGGUGUGACACAGUGAUUUAGUUCCUUACCCCGUUCUGCUGCGACGUCCUCAUUCUAAAUGGGUCAGCAGUCUGAAAAGGACACGGCUGUUGAGGGGCACAGCCCCAACCCCAGCUCAGAUCCCCAAACUAUCCACGAUGACACGAAGGCUUGGAGGACGCUCACUAAUGAUUCUAAUCUCCGGAGGGUGCUAGGGGCUUCACCUGCGGCCGUGGACCAUCUCUUCGGGUAGUGUGCGUGCACUGUAGGAGUUGUGCACUUUGCCCAACCCUUCUCUGCCGCAUUUGAAACUACUUUGGGUGCAUUCUGCUGCUACUUUUUCUGUGAGACUUCUCGCUGCUGUUGAAAAAGUAAAAAAGAAGGAAAGUAGGAGGGAUCAAGUUUUCAUUUCGAGGUUCUGAACGUUCUAUUUGACCCUGUCUUCUCUGGGAAUCGUGAAAAGGUGACUCGUUCUGUAACAUAGGUGACAAGGAAAAGGGGGCUUCAGAAUGCAGAACUCUAACUAAGCCCAUCCUCCAGCAGCAAGUCGGCCCUGAUUCAGUCUUGCUACUCUCCAUGACAAUAAUGGAUUAAACCUCUGAAAGCGUAAGCCAGACCCAAUGAGAUGUUUUCCUUUAGAAGAGCUGCCGAAUGGAGUCUCUUCAUGGCAAUAAAACCCCUGAGA
rnacentral:lncRNA from 1 species